UCAGUGCCUAUAUUGUGUUCACCAUCUAAGGAACCUUCAUGUGUGCAGGCUAGCAGGAAAAGCAGAGAGGAUCUCCCAGGAAAAUACUCUAUUUGUGCUACAUCCUCCAAAGGAGGAGUGAAGACAGUGUCACUGCUGUGUCAAUAUCAGGAAAGAUAAAGGAGCUGGGGCAUGAAGAGGUAUAUGACUUGGCCAAAGGCAAAAAAACCUAGGCAGCCUGAACUGAGCCCAGCAGGACUCCCCAUCACCUGUAGUAGCUGAGAACAUCGCGGUCCUCCUUCUGCCCUUCUUUGGCAUCUUGGGCCAGUUCCCGGACACUUUUGCUGCGAAUCUCCUUGUUGCUGUCCCUC